CUUGCGAUAGCUCAGUUGGUAGAGCGGAGGUCUGUAGUUCCUUAGGUCGUUGGUACAAGCUCAGCUUGCAAGA
rnacentral:tRNA from 1 species